rnacentral:rRNA from 1 species
UACGUAGGUGGCGAGCGUUGUCCGGAUUUACUGGGCGUAAAGGGCGUGCAGGCGGUUUGUUAAGUGCAGGGUGAAAGCUCCCGGCUCAACUGGGAGAGGUCCUUGCAUACUGGCGAACUCGAGGGAGGCAGAGGAAAGUGGAAUUCCCGGUGUAGUGGUGAUAUGCGUAGAUAUCAGGAGGAACACCGGUGGCGAAGGCGGUUCUCUGGGCAUUACCUGACGCUGAGGAGCGAAAGUGUGGGGAGCGAACAGG